UAAAUAAUACUCUGCAAUAAGAUCCCUGUAAAAAAAUCAUGUCUAUAUUUGGCAGCUCUUGUGUACAUUAGCCUAUUCCUAAUCUUAACUAAUCCUAAUUCCUAAUCCUAACAUUGCUAUUCCUUUAAAAAAAAAAGAUUUUUAUUUAUUUAUUUGACAGGUAGAGUUACAGUGAGAGAGAGACACACAGAGAAAGGUCUUCCUUCUGUUGGUUCACUCUCCAAAUGGCCGCAAUGGCUGGAGCUGUGCUGAUCCGAAGCCAGGAGCCAGGUUCCCCAGAAGACACAUUAUAUCAAGAAAAUGCAGAACUCAAGACAUUUUUGGAAAAAUAUGGUGCCUAAUCAGAGCAACCAGUGAAUGCUGUUAGAAGACCCAGGACAAACACUGAGGAAGAUAAUUAUAAAAGAGUAUUAAGAAAAUAUUUAUCUACCUGGAGCUUUUUACAUGAUUAAAUGAAAAUACCGAUAUUGCCAGAAAGGCUCAGCUUAUGAUGUUUAAUACAUUCACUCUCAGUGGCAAAAAUACAGAAAUUAUUUGUGUUGUAAAGGACUAAGUAGCAUAUAAUUUAGAAAAAACCUAUUGACACUUUGCUAGGAAAAAUCCAAACAGAACGGUGACAGACAAUUCUGGGGCAUUAUUGUGAUGCAGCAGUCUAAGCUGUCACUGGGGAAGCCCACAUCCCACACGGGAGUGUCAAGUUGAGUCCUAGCUACUUCACUUCCAACCUAAUUUCUGCUAAUAUGCCUGGGUGGCAGCAGGUGAUGAUUCAAAUAUUUUGGUGCCUGCCACCCAAAUAGGAGACCAAUGUGGAAUUCCUGGCUCCUGACUUAGGCCUGGCUAAGCCCUGGCUAUUUCAGGCAUUUGAGGAGCGAACCAGCAGAUGGAAGAUCUCUCUCUCUCGCUGUGUUCCUCUCCUUUUCAAAUGAAAUAAAAUUAAAUAAACACUGAAAAAAAUAAAGAACUCUAAGGAUGACUACAGAUAAAGCAACCUUGAGAAGUUCAUUGACAGAAUCAUUUAUAUUCAAGUAUUAUAAAAAAUAAUUAGAAGCAAGGAAUGUGUUAACUUUAUAGAAUAUAACUGAUAUCAAUAAUUUAAUAAAAACAAGUUCUCUGAAGCAAAGUAGAAUCUUUAUAUUACUGGGCAACAGUAUGGGAAAAGAUCAUCAAUAUUUUCAUAUCACAAAAUGCCCCAUAACUUUCCAGCUUUUAUUAAGAAAUCCUU